rnacentral:lncRNA from 1 species
AGAGGCGGUUGUUAUGACCGCCUCUAAGCUACAUAUUAGAGACAUAUUAGAGGCGUUUUUAAAAAACCGUCUAUGUACCUGAAAUAAGAAAAAAUCUAAUUUUUUCUUUUUUUCCCAACCCUCCCAAAAAAAACCCUAGUUCCCAUUAAAAAAGUAGAUCUCCUUCCUUCCCCAACCUCCUCCUCCCAAGAAACCCUCUGAAACCCUCUUCGAUGGCUUCUCCUCCAGCGACUUCUCUCCCUCCGCCGGCCGGCUGCUGCGCUCCUCCCACUGCGCUGUCCUUUCUACUUCUCAGGUGCGCCCCUCCCACCCCUAUACCUCCUCCUCCCCC